rnacentral:rRNA from 1 species
AUUGAACGCUGGCGGCAGGCCUAACACAUGCAAGUCGAGCGGAUGAAGGGAGCUUGCUCCUGGAUUCAGCGGCGGACGGGUGAGUAAUGCCUAGGAAUCUGCCUGGUAGUGGGGGAUAACGUCCGGAAACGGGCGCUAAUACCGCAUACGUCCUGAGGGAGAAAGUGGGGGAUCUUCGGACCUCACGCUAUCAGAUGAGCCUAGGUCGGAUUAGCUAGUUGGUGGGUUAAAGGCCUACCAAGGCGACGAUCCGUAACUGGUCUGAGAGGAUGAUCAGUCACACUGGAACUGAGACACGGUCCAGACUCCUACGGGAGGCAGCAGUGGGGAAUAUUGGACAAUGGGCGAAAGCCUGAUCCAGCCAUGCCGCGUGUGUGAAGAAGGUCUUCGGAUUGUAAAGCACUUUAAGUUGGUAGGAAGGGCAGUAAGUUAAUACCUUGCUGUUUUGACGUUACCAACAGAAUAAGCACCGGCUAACUUCGUG